UGCAGCACCUGACUCUAAUCCAGUUUGCUGGUCCAGGGGAUUGAACCCAGGUUCUCUCACUUGCUAAGCACUGGCUCUAUCAUUCACCUACACCCCCGGUCUGGCUUCACAAAUUUAUAUAAAUUCCUUUUGAGAUAUGUUACUAGAAUGCCCUUGACAUUAUGGCCAAUAUACAGCGCUGAGAACUGACCCCAGAGCCUCAGGCAGACAAUAGAAGGAAAUGGAAGAUUGGCUCUGAAAGGUUAAUUUACUUCUCUAAAGUCACAGUGUUGGAGCGGCUAUACCAAGGUCUCAUUUCUAAUCCUUUCUAUGCUCCAUCAUUAAACUGCUGACAGAUUUCCUAGGACUUUUGUUUGAAGACAGUAAUAUUCUUUCAAACAUUUUUAUAUGGGAGGAAAAUAACCCUACAAUCAAUGACCUCUGUGCUUCCCUCUGUCACAAUAUUAACCAAAAAACAAGUGACAAACUAAUAAUUGGAUUGUCAGGGUUUUUGUCUUCAAGGGUUAGGAGACAAAUUUAGAGGAAAGGGGGGUAUUUUUUUUUUUUUUUUACUACCGGGGAUCAACUCGGGACCUUGCGCUUGCGAGGGAGGCGGCAGAACCGCUGAGCUAAAUCCCCGGCCCAUAAGGGGGGUAUUUUUGAGGAAACAAUACCAACCUAGACACGAGGCCAGGCUAAAUUCAGGGGGUACCAAGCUAACCUAUUGCCGAGAGAAGCAGAGUUUUAUUUUUUCUUCACCUCUGUGCUUUUCUUCACUGUUUCCAAGGAUUUUUCGAAGCUCGACAGUCAAGCGCUCACCGAGCCCACUGACACUAAAUGGCAGGGUAAUACUUUUUAAUCUGUCCCCCAACCCUUGACUCCUAUACGGCCUCUUCUUGCUUUGUCUCUUACAUGCUUUUCCCUUUGUC
rnacentral:lncRNA from 1 species